AUUGAACGCUGGCGGCAGGCCUAACACAUGCAAGUCGAGCGGAGCGGCGGACGGGUGAGUAAUGCCUAGGAAUCUGCCUGGUAGUGGGGGAUAACGUCCGGAAACGGGCGCUAAUACUGCAUACUAUCAGAUGAGCCUAGGUCGGAUUAGCCAGUUGGUGGGGUAAAGGACUACCAAGGCGACGAUCCGUAACUGGUCUGAGAGGAUGACCAGCCACACUGGAACGGAGACACGGUCCAGACUCCUACGGAAGGCGGCAGUGGGGAAUAGUGCACGAUGGGCGCGAGCCUGAUGCAGCCGUGCCGCGUGUAUGAAGAAGGCCUUCGGGUUGUAAAGUACUUUCAGCGGGGAGGCGUUACCCACAGAAGAAGCACCGGCUAACUCCGUGCCAGCAGCCGCGGUAAUUC
rnacentral:rRNA from 1 species